rnacentral:rRNA from 1 species
CACGUAGGCACCAAGCGUUGUCCGGAUUUAUUGGGCGUAAAGGGCUCGUAGGCGGUCUGUUACGUCGGGAGUGAAAACUCGGGGCUCAACCCCGAGCCUGCUUCCGAUACGGGCAGACUAGAGGUAUGCAGGGGAGAAUGGAAUUCCUGGUGUAGCGGUGAAAUGCGCAGAUAUCAGGAGGAACACCGGUGGCGAAGGCGGUUCUCUGGGCAUUACCUGACGCUGAGGAGCGAAAGUGUGGGGAGCGAACAGG